rnacentral:rRNA from 1 species
UCCGGAAUCCCGAAGAGAUUUGGGAGUGCUCGAAAGAGAGCCGGAACACAGGUGCUGCAUGGCUGUCGUCAGCUCGUGUCGUGAGAUGUUGGGUUAAGUCCCGCAACGAGCGCAACCCUUAUCAUUAGUUGCCAUCAUUCAGUUGGGCACUCUAAUGAGACUGCCGGUGACAAACCGGAGGAAGGUGGGGAUGACGUCAAGUCCUCAUGGCCCUUAUGGGUAGGGCUUCACACGUCAUACAAUGGUCGGUACAGAGGGUUGCCAACCCGCGAGGGGGAGCUAAUCUCACAAAGCCGAUCGUAGUCCGGAUCGCAGUCUGCAACUCGACUGCGUGAAGUCGGAAUCGCUAGUAAUCGUGGAUCAGCAUGUCACGGUGAAUACGUUCCCGGGUCUUGUACACACCGCCCGUCACACCAUGGGAGUGGGUUUCACCAGAAGUAGGUAGUCUAACCGCAAGGAGGGCGCUUACCACGGUGGGGUUCAUGACUGGGGUGAAGUCGUAACAAGGUAGCCGUAGGGGAACCUGCGGCUGGAUCACCUCCUUU